rnacentral:rRNA from 1 species
AACUUAGCAGAGAUGCUUUGGUGCCUUCGGGAACUCUGAGACAGGUGCUGCAUGGCUGUCGUCAGCUCGUGUUGUGAAAUGUUGGGUUAAGUCCCGCAACGAGCGCAACCCUUAUCCUUUGUUGCCAGCGGCUCGGCCGGGAACUCAAAGGAGACUGCCGGUGAUAAACCGGAGGAAGGUGGGGAUGACGUCAAGUCAUCAUGGCCCUUACGGCCAGGGCUACACACGUGCUACAAUGGCGCAUACAAGAGAAGCGACCUCGCGAGAGCAAGCGGACCUCAUAAAGUGCGUCGUAGUCCGGAUUGGAGUCUGCAACUCGACUCCAUGAAGUCGGAAUCGCUAGUAAUCGUAGAUCAGAAUGCUACGGUGAAUACGUUCCCGGGCCUUGUACACACCGCCCGUCACACCAUGGGAGUGGGUUGCAAAAGAAGUAGGUAGCUUAACCUUCGGGAGGGCGCUUACCACUUUGUGAUUCAUGACUGGGGUGAAGUCGUAACAAGGUAAGCGUAGCGAG